rnacentral:rRNA from 1 species
GGUGAACCUGCGGAAGGAUCAUUGUCGAAGUGGAACGGAAGGACGACCCGCGAACCGUCAUUGCGUACCAGAGAGAGGGCUCGUGAGCGCCUAAUGCUCAUGCGGCUCGCGUCGCGUCGGCGCGGAUGUACUCGAGACCCGCGUCGCGUGGACGAACGAACAAUGUCAGCACGGAUCGUGCCAAGGAGCUGCAUGGAGGGAGUCGUCGUCCCACGCCUCGGAUUGUCCUCGAUGCGGGGGACGUACGCAGUCUCUACUCAAGUCUAAAUGACUCUCGGCAACGGAUAUCUCGGCUCUUGCAUCGAUGAAGAACGUAGCGAAAUGCGAUGCUUGGUGUGAAUUGCAGAAUCCCGCGAACCAUCAAUUCUUUGAACGCAAGUUGCGCCCGAAGCCAUUCGGCCGAGGGCACGCCUGCCUGGGCGUCGUGAAUCCCCUUGCCCCUUGGCUCCCGCGUUCCUGCAUGCGCAUCGACGGGGAUAUGCCGGGGCGCAGAGCAUGGUCUCCCGUGGGAUCGGCAUGCCGAGUUGCGGUUGGCCGAAAUACGAGCACGGCGGUGACGGGCGCCACGGCGUUCUGUGGAUCGAACGAGAUUGGCUGCGUCGUGGGCUCGGCACGCUGCGGGCUCCGGACUUUGACAAUCCCCGAGUGCGAUCCCAGGUCAAGCGGGGCUA